rnacentral:lncRNA from 1 species
CGAAUAUGUGAUGAGCUGGGCUUUAAAUAAAGCCGUGCGUACAGCGACAUCGCGUUCUCUGGUCUUCGAGCUGCCCUCCUGCUGCUGCUCGACCUUGCAUCCUCUCCUCCGGUCUUUCAGAGACUCACAGGCUUCUGUUUUUCUUCGUGUCUAAUCUCGCGCAACCAUGCCAAGCAAGAGGAAGAAGAAUAAGCGCCGCAUGAGGAGAGUGCAGUUGCAGAGGCGGGCACUAGAGGAACAGUAUGCCGCCGCAGCUAAAGGAACUCCUGCGCUCAGGGCAGUCUCUGCCCCGGGCGCCGUCCCCGUUGUUGCCAAACCCGUCAAGGCGCCCAAACCCCCCGUUGCUACCUUCAAACCAAAGCAGCCCAAAGCCCCCGCCCCAGUUAUUGUCCCCCAAAUUCCAGAGGUGUCUGCAUGCCCCCCAGUUGAACCCCCAACCGUCGCUCCUACGCUCCCAGAGCUUGUCCCAGAGCUUGUCCCAGAGGUUCCUAUUGAGGCGGCUCCUGUAGUAGAAGUCCCAGAGGUCUCAGAGGUUUCCCCAGUGGAAGCACCUGCGCCUGAGCCAGAGCCAGAGCCCGCUACAAUCCCAGAACUCGCCCCAGUAGAGCCGGAAGAACUGCUCAAAGAACCAGAAGCAGUCGCGGAACCAGAAGCAGUCGUGGAACCAGAAGCAGUCAAAGAAUCGGAACCAGAAGUGGUGCCAGAACCAGAAGUGGUGUCGGAACCAGAAGUGGUACCAGAACCAGUCGAGGCUGAACCAGAACCGGUUCCGGAACCUGAAGUGGUGGCGGCAGCAGAACCAGUCGAGACUGAACCAGAACCGGUUCCAGAACCUGAAGUGGUGAAGGCAGCAGAAGCAGUUCAUGUCGCAGAGGAAGUGUCGGUCGUAGAGGAAGUGUCGGUCGCAGAGGAAGAGUUGUUCGCAGAGGAAGAGUGGAAGCCCGUUAAAUGCCCGGCAGGGUUGCCAGCAGAUGUCCUUUCAGUCGCGUUGGAAGACCCCAUUAUCCCAGCCCCUGCACCAGAGGGCGAGACACAAGCUGCCCCCAGCGAAGACGCAGUUGUCCAGGAAACCAUCGAGGUUUGUGAAGACGCAGUUGUCCAGGAGACCAUCGAGACAUCAGAAGUGGACGGUGUGGCAUGGGCGCCCGCUGUCGAAGCACCAGAAGAGAUCGUACCUGAACCCAGUGUUGAAGAAGAACAAAAGUCCGUAUCGGAGCCCGUUGACGUGUUAGCUGAGCCUGCACCUGAGCCUGCAGAUGAAGCCCAAACCCUUUCAGAAAAUGCAGUCGAACCAGUUUCGGCUGACGCCGAGGUGGUGGAACCCGAGGCUGUGGCCAUGCCUGAGCAAGAGUCGCCUGAAGACGCAGAUGAAGCUGUGAUUGCACAACCUGAGGUCGAAGAAGCCAUGGUGAAGACUGUGAGUGAAGAACCAGAGGUGGUGGAGGUGGUGGAGGUGGUGGUGGCCCCCGCAGAGACCGUGGAAGCUGAGCAGGUUCCUGAGGUGACUCCUGCUGCUCCAGAGCCAGAGCCAGAGGUGUGCCCAGAUGUUCCAGCCCAGAUUGAGGAGGCUGUUGCGGCUGAGGCUGCCCCUGUUGCCCCUGUCGUCGAGCCUGAGGUUGCCGCGGCUGAACCCGUGACCCCUGACACCAUGGCUGAGGACUUUGUUGUGACCGAAUCUGCGGUUGCUGUGGAGGCGGCCAUGUCUGUACCUGCUGAGGAGCCUGCUCCAGUUGCCAUCAUUGCUGAGACCCUGGUCCUGCCAGAGGUGGAGGUGGAGGUGGAGCCCAUCGCUGAACCCACCCCUCUGUCAACCAACGAAGUCAUCAAGGUUAAAGAGGAAAUUGUGACUGAAGUGGAGAUUGAAACAAAAAUGGUAGUGGAGGCUCUGAAUGGACACGUAACACCAGAAGUGGCUAUUGAGAGCUAAACAUAAUGUGUGCACAAAGGGACUCCGAAAAACAUCUCCGUUCAAAGUGCCUUUUUCCUGUAUGGGCUCUCAAAUCUUUUGGAUGUGGAGCGUAGAUUCAGACAGAUGUCAUGAUUUUCAUGUGAAUACUGGCUCUUUUUGAUUGGCGUCCAUAUCUUCAUGCAUAUUUGCAGACACUGUAAUACGCAUACACGGAGCUGUUUUGGUGAAAUCUCACAAUUUAUAUGUUCAUAUUUGGACCAUUUUUGUAUUGAAAAGUUUUUUUUUUAUUUUGCCUUCUCUUUUCCUUUUUUGUAAAAACAGUUUGGACUGUAGAGCUGCCUCCCAAGGCUCCUGUUUACUAUUUCAGAUGGUGCCUUUUUCCUUAAGUUUGAAUGGAUUUCACUGGAGGAGCCCUUUCUGUGUGUGUGUAUGUGUGUGUGUCUGUGCUGUGCGCCUCUUGUUAUGACUGCAAGUGUCCCGCAUCAGCGCGGCACACUGGAGAAAGUGCAUCCGUUCUCUGGACAGGGCUGUAGUCCGGCAGGGCUGCAGAGGUUGGACUCUCAGGCCACACGUGUUGUCUUUUCCUCCUGCCUUUUGUAAACAAGUCUAUUUGGUACAAGAUGGCUGCUGGAAGCCAUGGUCCACCGCAGAUGGAGCUUUUAACGGUUCUUUCACUCUCAAUAAAGAAAUCGAACUCACCA